AACGAACGCUGGCGGCAUGCCUAACACAUGCAAGUCGAACGAGACCUUCGGGUCUAGUGGCGCACGGGUGCGUAACGCGUGGGAACCUUCCCUUAGGUUCGGAAUAACUCUCCGACAGGGGUGCUAAUACCGGAUAAUGUCUUCGGACCAAAGAUUUAUCGCCUUUGGAUGGGCCCUCGUUGGAUUAGCUAUGUGGUAAGGUAAAAGCUUACCAAGGCGACGAUCCGUAGCUGGUCGAAGAGGGGGAUCAGCCACACUGGAAAUGAGACACGGCCCAGACGCAGAGGGGAGGCAGAAGUAGGGAAUCUGAGGAAAUGGGAGAAAGCCUGAAGGAGCAAAGCCGCGUGAGUGAUGAAGGUCUUAGGAUCGUAAAAAUCUGUUAUUAGGGAAGAACAAAUGUGUAAGUAACUAUGCACGUCUUGACGGUACCUAAUCAGAAAGCCACGGCUAACUACGUG
rnacentral:rRNA from 1 species